AUUGAACGCUGGCGGAAUGCUUUACACAUGCAAGUCGAACGGCAGCACGGGAGCAAUCCUGGUGGCGAGUGGCGAACGGGUGAGUAAUACAUCGGAACGUGCCCAAUCGUGGGGGAUAACGUAGCGAAAGCUACGCUAAUACCGCAUACGAUCUACGGAUGAAAGCGGGGGAUCGCAAGACCUCGCGCGAAUGUAGCGGCGGAUGGCAGAUUAGGUAGUUGGUGAGGUAAAGGCUCACCAAGCCUGCGAUCUGUAGCUGGUCUGAGAGGACGACCAGCCACACUGGGACUGAGACACGGCCCAGACUCCUACGGGAGGCAGCAGUGGGGAAUUUUGGACAAUGGGCGCAAGCCUGAUCCAGCAAUGCCGCGUGCAGGAUGAAGGCCUUCGGGUUGCAAACUGCUUUUGUACGGAACGAAACGGUCCUUUCUAAUACAAGGGGCUAAUGACGGUACCGUAAGAAUAAGCACCGGCUAACUACGUGCCAGCCGCCGCAGUAA
rnacentral:rRNA from 1 species